rnacentral:rRNA from 1 species
CAGCCGCCGCGGUAAUACGGAGGGAGCUAGCGUUGUUCGGAAUUACUGGGCGUGAAGCGCACGUAGGCGGCUUUGUAAGUUAGAGGUGAAAGCCUGGAGCUCAACUCCAGAAUUGCCUUUAAGACUGCAUCGCUUGAAUCCGAGAGAGGUGAGUGGAAUUCCGAGUGUAGAGGUGAAAUUCGUAGAUAUUCGCAGGAACACCAGUGGCGAAGGCGGCUGACUGGUCCACAACUGACGCUGAGGUGCGAAAGCGUGGGGAGCAAACAGGAUUAGAUACCCCUGUAGUCCCUGUCUCUUAUAC